rnacentral:rRNA from 1 species
AUUGAACGCUGGCGGCAGGCCUAACACAUGCAAGUCGAGCGAGCGGCGGACGGGUGAGUAAUGUAUGGGAAUCUGCCCGAUAGAGGGGGAUAACUACUGGAAACGGUGGCUAAUACCGCAUACUAUCGGAUGAACCCAGAUGGGAUUAGCUAGUAGGUGGGGUAAAGGCUCACCUAGGCGACGAUCCCUAGCUGGUCUGAGAGGAUGAUCAGCACCACUGGGACUGAGACACGGUCCAGACGCCUACGGGAGGCAGCAGUGGGGAAUAUUGCACAAUGGGCGCAAGCCUGAUGCAGCCAUGCCGCGUGUAUGAAGAAGGCCUUAGGGUUGUAAAGUACUGUCAGCGGGGAGGCGUUACCCGCAGAAGAAGCACCGGCUAACUCCGUGCCAGCAGCCGCGGUAAUUC